AGGACAGUGUCUGGUGGGUAGUUUGACUGGGGCGGUCGCCUCCCAAAAUGUAACGGAGGCAUGCAAAGGUUCCCUCAGGCUGAUUGGAAACCAGCCGUCGAGUGCAAACGCAAAAGGGAGCUUGACUGCAAGAGAGACAUCUCGAGCAGGUACGAAAGUAGGUGUUAGUGAUCCGGUGAUCCCGAAUGGAAGGGUCAUCGCUCAUUGGAUAAAAGGUACGCCGGGGAUAACAGGCUGAUCGCAUCCAAGAGUUCACAUCGACGAUGCGGUUUGGCACCUCGAUGUCGGCUCAUCACAUCCUGGGGCUGAAGCAGGUCCCAAGGGUACGGCUGUUCGCCGUUUAAAGUGGUACGCGAGCUGGGUUUAAAACGUCGUGAGACAGUUUGGUCCCUAUCUUCUGUGGGCGUAGGAGAAUUGAAAGGGCCUGUCCCUAGUACGAGAGGACCGGGAUGGACACACCACUGGUGGACCUGUUGUCGUGCCAACGGCACAGCAGGGUAGCUAUGUGUGGAAGGGAUAACCGCUGAAAGCAUCUAAGCGGGAAGCCUGCCUUAAGAUAAGUUCUCCCUGACGCAAGUCCUGAAGGGCCGAGGUAGACGACCUCGUUGAUAGGCUGGAGGUGGAAGCCCUGUGAGGGGUGGAGCUGACCAGUACUAAUAGCCCGUGCGUCUUGUUUCU
rnacentral:rRNA from 1 species